UGGGGAAUCUUCCGCAAUGGACGAAAGUCUGACGGAGCAACGCCGCGUGAGUGAUGACGGCCUUCGGGUUGUAAAGCUCUGUUAAUCGGGACGAAUGGUUCUUGUGCGAAUAGUGCGAGGAUUUGACGGUACCGGAAUAGAAAGCCACGGCUAACUACGUGCCAGCAGCCGCGGUAAUACGUAGGUGGCAAGCGUUGUCCGGAAUUAUUGGGCGUAAAGCGCGCGCAGGCGGAUUGGUCAGUCUGUCUUAAAAGUUCGGGGCUUAACCCCGUGAUGGGAUGGAAACUGCCAAUCUAGAGUAUCGGAGAGGAAAGUGGAAGUCCUAGUGUAGCGGUGAAAUGCGUAGAUAUUAGGAAGAACACCAGUGGCGAAGGCGACUUUCUGGACGAAAACUGACGCUGAGGCGCGAAAGCCAGGGGAGCGAACGGG
rnacentral:rRNA from 1 species